UGGGCUGGUCGUAAGACCCAGGUCCAUCAACGGCGGGGAAGUUCCCC
rnacentral:sRNA from 23 species